rnacentral:rRNA from 1 species
CCUACGGGAGGCAGCAGUGAGGAAUUUUGCGCAAUGGGGGAAACCCUGACGCAGCAACGCCGCGUGGGUGAAGAAGGCCUUCGGGUCGUAAAGCCCUGUCAGGUGGGAAGAAUGUCCCAGGGGUGAAUAGUCUUUGGGAGUGACGGUACCACCAGAGGAAGCACCGGCUAACUCCGUGCCAGCAGCCGCGGUAAUACGGAGGGUGCGAGCGUUGUUCGGAAUCAUUGGGCGUAAAGGGCGUGCAGGCGGCUGGGUAAGUCUGAUGUGAAAGCCCGGGGCUCAACCCCGGAAGUGCAUUGGAAACUGCUCAGCUUGAGUACCGGAGAGGAUGGGGGAAUUCCCGGUGUAGAGGUGAAAUUCGUAGAGAUCGGGAGGAAUACCAGUGGCGAAGGCGCCCAUCUGGACGGAUACUGACGCUGAGACGCGAAAGCGUGGGGAGCAAACAGGAUUAGAUACCCUGGUAGUCCACGCCGUAAACGAUGAGUGCUAAGUGUUAGGGGGUUUCCGCCCCUUAGUGCUGCAGCUAACGCAUUAAGCACUCCGCCUGGGGAGUACGAUCGCAAGAUUGAAACUCAAAGGAAUUGACGG